rnacentral:rRNA from 1 species
CCUACGGGAGGCAGCAGUGAGGAAUAUUGGUCAAUGGACGAGAGUCUGAACCAGCCAAGUAGCGUGAAGGAUGACUGCCCUAUGGGUUGUAAACUUCUUUUAUAUGGGAAUAAAAUGUUCCACGUGUGGGAUUUUGUAUGUACCAUAUGAAUAAGGAUCGGCUAACUCCGUUCCAGCAGCCGCGGUAAUACGGAGGAUCCGAGCGUUAUCCGGAUUUUUUGGGUUUAAAGGGAGCGUAGGUGGAUUGUUAAGGCAGUUGUGAAAGUUUGCGGCUCAACCGUAAAAUUGCAGUUGAAACUGGCAGUCUUGAGUACAGUAGAGGUGGGCGGAAUUCGUGGUGUAGCGGUGAAAUGCUUAGAUAUCACGAAGAACUCCGAUUGCGAAGGCAGCUCACUGGACUGCAACUGACACUGAGGCUCGAAAGUGUGGGUAUCAAACAGGAUUAGAUACCCGGGUAGUC